rnacentral:rRNA from 1 species
AUUGAACGCUGGCGGAAUGCUUUACACAUGCAAGUCGAACGGCAGCACGGGGGCAACUCUGGUGGCGAGUGGCGAACGGGUGAGUAAUACAUCGGAACGUGCCCGGUCGUGGGGGAUAACGUAGCGAAAGUUACGCUAAUACCGCAUACGAUCUGAGGAGCAAAGCGGGGGACCUUCGGGCCUCGCGCGAUCGCAGCGGCCGAUGUCAGAUUAGGUAGUUGGUGGGGUAAAGGCCUACCAAGCCGACGAUCUGUAGCUGGUCUGAGAGGACGACCAGCCACACUGGGACUGAGACACGGCCCAGACUCCUACGGGAGGCAGCAGUGGGGAAUUUUGGACAAUGGGCGCAAGCCUGAUCCAGCCAUUCCGCGUGCAGGACGAAGGCCUUCGGGUUGUAAACUGCUUUUGUAUGGAACGAAAAGGCUCUGGCUAAUACCUGGGGCUCAUGACGGUACCGGAAGAAUAAGCACCGGCUAACUACGUG